CCCUUAGACACUCUAGGCGGCACGCGCGCUAUAAUGGGUGGAAGAACGUGUUACUGCCUCCGAAAGGAGGGGUGAAUCACGAAUUCUUGCCCGUGAAUGGGAUAGUUUGUUGCAAUUUUCGGACUUGAACUAGGAAUCCCUUGUAAACAUGCUCAAGAAUAGCGUGUUGAAUACGUCCCUGCCGUUUGUACACACCGCCCGUCGUUUCUUCCGACUGAUACUCAUUGUGAGUUGCAAGGACCCUUUAUUGGGAAAUUGCUGCAAAUGCUUUGUAUUGGAGGAAGAAAAAGUCGUAACA
rnacentral:rRNA from 1 species